rnacentral:rRNA from 1 species
UAAGGAAUAUUGGUCAAUGGACGCAAGUCUGAACCAGCCAUGCCGCGUGAAGGAUGAAGGUCCUCUGGAUUGUAAACUUCUUUUAUCUGGGACGAAAACGGGAUUUUUAUCUCAAUUGACGGUACCAGAGGAAUAAGCACCGGCUAACUCCGUGCCAGCAGCCGCGGUAAUACGGAGGGUGCGAGCGUUAUCCGGAUUUACUGGGUUUAAAGGGUGCGUAGGUGGGCUUAUAAGUCAGUGGUGAAAUCCCCGAGCUUAACUUGGGAGCUGCCAUUGAUACUAUAUAUCUUGAAUACCGUAGAGGUAAGCGGAAUAUGUCAUGUAGCGGUGAAAUGCUUAGAUAUGACAUGGAACACCAAUUGCGAAGGCAGCUUACUAUGCGGUGAUUGACACUGAGGCACGAAAGCGUGGGUAGCAAACA